GUGCCAGCAGCCGCGGUAAUACGGAGGGUGCGAGCGUUGUCCGGAAUCAUUGGGUGUAAAGGGUGCGUAGGCGGGCUGCUAAGUCUGGGGUGAAAUCCUGCCGCUUAACGGUAGAAUGGCCCCCGAUACUGGCAGUCUUGAGUACAGAAGAGGUCGGUGGAAUUCGUAGUGUAGCGGUGAAAUGCAUAGAUAUUACGAAGAACACCAGUGGCGAAGGCGGCCGGCUGGUCUGUAACUGACGCUGAGGCACGAAAGCGUGGGGAGCGAACAGGAUUAGAUACCCUGGUAGUCCACGCUGUAAACGAUGUAUGCUAGGUGUCGGCCCUUCGGGGUCGGUGCUGCAGUUAACGCAGUAAGCAUACCACCUGGGGAGUACGUCGGCAACGAUGAAACUCAAAGGAAUUGACGGGG
rnacentral:rRNA from 1 species